GCUAGUGUGGCUCAGUGGUAGAGCAUCAGCUCAUGCACUGAAGGAUCAUGGGUUUGAUUCCUGGUCAAGGGCA
rfam:Myotis lucifugus cont2.19031, whole genome shotgun sequence.